CCUCUGAUUGGAGGACAAACGUGCUCCCCACUCACCCACAGUCGCCCAAUGGAAUAGAAAAAGAGACUGAAGUGUGAAUGUGGGCAAUCGAGCAAUAGUCAGCCUGUGUAUGGAGAGAGGGAGAGAGGUGAAACUUAACCUCAUCAUAAUUCACCGUGAUUCUCUGGUUCAACAUUGCACGUAACCACAUGGCAACUUUUCUAAUAUCAUUUUGGGGGGGUUGGGAUUUUAGAUAGAGAUCAUGGUUAUAUUUCAAAUUCCUCUUACAGCUUAUAAUCAUAGAAAUAAAAAUAACAGGAAUACGUGUCACAUAUGACAUUGAGACUUUUACACUGUAUGGUGUUGCUGUGUUGGAUUGCAAGUAGCGAUUACGGGUGAUCUCGACCUCUGACCUCCCUAAACUAAGGGCUGACAAGAGGAAAGUCCCCAACAGCCCCAUCCAGUUAGCCACAUCACCAUAGUAACCAUUUUUCAAGUGGUUGCGCUUGAGCUUCCAGAUGUAAUGUGGCCCUCUGGUGGCGGGUAGCAGAAUAGCACGAUUCAGGCAGUAUGUGACAACAUGGCCAAACGUUGUGAGGUGGAUUUAAGAAAAUGUCAGUGUGGGCGGGCACGAGUGUCUCAUCUUCCCCCUGUCAACUGCCUCCACCCUGCUACCCCCACCCUCGAGCUCAUCAGCUGUUAUGGCUCAUCUUACACCCUUCAAACACCUGUAGAAGCCACAGGGACAAAGUGGCAUUUACAUGUGUAGUCUUGUUGUCAUGACGGCGGCCGGUUACAUAAGUACUGUGCGCUGAUUCUGUGCUGUAACACGAGACACAGAACUCACACACACACACACACACACACACACACACACACACACACACACACACACACCCUGACACCGUUUGCACAUUUCUCCAGCUGGAUGUGCUCGUAUGUCACGGAGGACUCGGAGCAGUGUGACCAGCCACGUGAGCCUUUGACGUCUGGCCCAGCCAUUCGGGUUCUACAGUGACCGAGAUCAGUGGCCGGGAGAAUGACAACAAAGUCAGCUCCCAUCAUUAUGCUCGCCCAUCAUUAUAUAUUUGCAUAUGUUUGCAUUGUCUAAGUGAGGCCGAGCAUCAGUGUGGAGCUGACAGCACCAGCGCUCGACUGUCGUGUCAGCCUUGGUUUGCUGUGAUGUUCUGAUUGAAUUUCUCUCUGUUGCUUGGGGCAAAGUUUUAACCACCAGCUGUCCUUGUUGCCGUGCUGCCAUGACAACCGCAUUCAUGUUUGAGACAUAUUUCCUGCGCUGUCCCGUCUGACUGCACGGCUCAUGUGUUGACAGAGGAUGGACUGCAGGGAGGAUAUCAGUGGGGCUUUAUGAAGAAUGGCUUUUCGUGGGGUCCCUGUUGUUGUGGUUGCACUUUUUUCAGUAUGUGGUUGUGUUUUUUAUUUUACUUAAUACACACGUUAUCUGGCAUCAUUGUUCAUAUUAUUAAUAUUAUCUAGCAAGAUGUGUUUGGUAGAGGGCAGCUCUUUGAACAAAGCUAACUCUUUGUCUAGACACCAAAAGUCUUUGAGAAACACACUCCAUUCAAACUGAAAAACAAGCGUUGAUGUAUGCAGGCAAUCAGAUAGAAGUCAUUGUAGAAGAUACCAUCUGGCCAAGUACCCAUCCUCCUUUGUUGUGACGAGGUGCAGCAUUGUGUGUGCUGGUAGUUCAGUGAGCUGUUAGUGAGUAGCAGAAAAUUAUGUAUAUUUUAUUAAAGUGUGGAUUCCUUCAUGACAUCUGUAGUAAAGUUAUGGACCCUAAGUAGGCUUUUUUUCCUUAAGGAGCUACGAUGCAUUUAAAAUACCUUUUUGAAAACAGAUAGAGCUGUUAACUCGGACUCAUUUCACCGUUGCAGCUGUGACACCAAAAAAACAUCUUCCCCUAGAAGCUGGUUUCAUAUGGUGGUUUAGAUGUGUGUUCCCAUUGUCUAGCACCAUUUGAAAUCAGUGUUCUUGAGGACAGGAGGACAGCUCCGGCAGUGAGUGAGCCUCUGGAGGACAUGUACGACACUGUCCUCUCCCCUCCUCCUUUUUCUCCUCUAAAAGAUAACCGAUUUCUUCUGGUGCAUAGAGCCCGCUGCAGCCUUCUAGCACCAUUUGAAAUCGGUUAUGAAACUGUGGAUCAAUGCAUCUGUGAGUCUUCGGAAAAGUGCGGGACGAGCAGAAGAAAGUAGCUGUGGCUUUUUGUCUCUGGAUUCAAACAGGAAGAGAUCCAUCAGGAGUUUGAAGGCCACUCACGGAUGUUGUCUGUAACAUCUGCCAUUUAUGGAUAACAACUUCAUCUUAGCUGUAGUAAAUCUUGCUUGUGUCUAAAUAAAUAUUACAUAAUGUGAGUUACUGGUGUCAUUUUCACUGCCAGAAACAAGUCAAUGUUCCUGCAGUUCACAUUAACCACGACUAGAGGCUGAUAGCAAUUAUAGAAGAUGCCUUUGUGGUUAUUGAGUUGGUACGAUGUAAGAAAAUUCACAAUAAAGCACAUUUCACCUAACAAUAA